rnacentral:misc_RNA from 1 species
AUUUAAUUUAUUUAUAGUGUUAAUGAUAAGUGAUAGUGGUUGGAUAGUUGAACAGUAAUAGUGGCUAAGCGAUGGUGGCGGUGACAAUAGCUAUGGUUAGGUGGUGGUGGUGAUGGUGGCGGCGGCAAGGUGUGAUAGUAGUGGUAUUAGUAACUAGGUAGAGGUGAUAGCUGUGGUGGUGGUAGCAGGGGUAGUAAUGUUGACAAUAAAUGAAAAAAAAA